AAAUAAAAACCAUAUUAUUAAGAUUUUCAACAAAUCAAAAAAUAUUUCAACGCAAUACUAGUACAGGUGGAGAGGUACUGCUGCAGAUCCCUUCUUCACUUGUCCAAAUUAAGUUGAAGGCUGCUCAUUUACAUCAAAUUUACUGUGUUAGCAUUUACAUUUACAUUUUAUAUCAAAUUUACAUCGAAUAUACUAGUUUGCUGAUAUUCAUGAAUGUGUUUGCUGAUAUUAGCACUACAGUAGAAGGCCAAUAAUGAAAUUCGCCCUCUGUCAAAAGAUUUACUCAAGCUUGACAUUUAUAUCUUCAAUUUUCACUUGGGUGGCUACAAAUGAUAAUAUCAUAAUCAAAUAUAGUAGAGAAUCCAAAAAGCCUUCUACGCCAAACUAAAGCGCGACGACUUCAGAAGGGAGUUCUUCAUACCAACACUCAACUUAGUCAAAGAGACUGAAGCCCAUAUCCUGCAACAAAAUUUAACACAAAAAGUCAGAUUAUAAAAAUCGUUUCAAUUUGUGUAGCCAACAAAUAAAUACUGAAUUGAGUCCUAAAAAUGAAGUAAAUAAAAAGGAAAAGAAGCUUCUAGAAUGCCUUUCUUGACAAAAAAAGAAGGAAAAAAAGCAGAAAUACCCACAAGCAUUUAGAAGAGAAUAAAUCAAGAAAAGAACGGACCUAUAAUAGAUGGUUAAUUCUCAUAAUAAUGAAGAUGAUUUUUUAAGAUACAAAUUCUCAUCAAAUUGAAGUUAGUUGAACUUGAACCUAUUACCAUCAAUCUCUUAGCAUCAUGCCAACCAAG
rnacentral:lncRNA from 1 species